AUGAUCAUACUUCAUGGAUCGAUUAUAGUGUGAUUGCCGAGGUCCCUCGAUAAAAACUCCGGAUAAAAUUCAACCACGAUGAGGAUAUCGGUCUGUCGUCCUCCCAGGCGGGAAGCGGUUUUUACGUUCAUUCGUAAGAACAUUGAUGACCGCGUUACAGCAUAAAAUAUGUCCAAGGAGGUUCACACAGGCGGA
rnacentral:snoRNA from 1 species